rnacentral:rRNA from 1 species
AUUGAACGCUGGCGGCAGGCCUAACACAUGCAAGUCGAGCGGAGCGGCGGACGCGUGCGUAAUGCCUAGGAAUCUGCCUGUUAGUGUGGGAUAACGUCCGGAAACGGGCGCUAAUACCGCCUCCUUUCAGUUGCGCCUAGGUCGGAUUAGCUAGUUGGUGGGGUAAAGGCCAACCAAGGCGACGAUCAGUAACUUGGCUGAGAGGAUGAUCAGUUACACUGGAACGGAGACACGGGCCAGACUCCUACGGGAGGCAGCAGUGGGGAAUAUUGCACAAUGGGCGAAAGCCUGAUCCAGCCAUGCCGCGUGUGUGAAGAAGGUCUUCGGAUUGUAAAGCACUUUAAGUUGGGAGGCGUUACCAACAGAAUAAGCACCGGCUAACUUCGUGCCAGCAGCCGCGGUAAUAC